AAUGUACCAAAACCUUUGAUGGAUUUCUCUUGACAAUAUAGUCAAUCUAACCACCUUAACUUAUGGUUAGAAGCCUUCCAUAGUGUGACUGUUUCAUGUUCUUUUCUUUCUUGUACUACAUUAAUUUUGCCAGCCUACUGUAUAAUUUCCCCAAGUGCCUUCCUGCUUGGUCUCCCACGUUCAUACCCGUUGCCUACUUAAGUUCUAAUCUCUUUCAAAUUCUUAGGACAAGACCUACUAAUUCCAGGAAUUUAUCCUAAAAUCAUUACUUCAGGAAUUAACAAAAUUUAUCCUGUUAUUUCUACAUCACUUAUUGUCACUGUCACACAUUGCCAGGUUAAAUUUUCAUAUAUACAUUAAUGAUUUUUCCCAGAUAAAUGCUAACUAUUUGAAGAAAGGGAUUACUUUUCCCCUCCCCUUAAUAUCUUCCGAAGCAUUUAACAUCAUUCAUAGUACCUUUAGUUUGGUUGAGUCUUUUUAAAGAUUUUCUUCUUCCUCUUAAUCGUGUUGGUAAAAUGAUGUGAGAUAUGUCUGUGCUCAGUUAUGGCCCCUAUCACAUCAGAAGACUUUCGAAUGAGAGGUAAUGUUCUGCCCCAAACUCUCUCGACUACAGUAUAUAUUUUUCUGGGACCUAUUUGUCCACAUUCUUACUUAUUUACAUGGGCAGUGUGGCCAUAUCACCACAAUUCCAAGACCAGAAAGAAAUUUUCAUGGAGUCUUUUUUCUGUUAUGUAUUUAGAACUGUUGUAUUGUACCACAGAUAACUUUCAAUAAUUAUCAUUGGGGGCACCUGGGUGGCUCAGUCAGUUAAGCAGCUGCCUUUGGCUCAGGUCAUGAUCCCGGGGUCUUGGGAUCGAGGCCCCACAUCAGGCUCUCUGCUCAGCAGGGAGCCUGCUUUUCCCUCUCCUGCUCCCCCUGCUUGUGCUCCCUGUCUCUCUCUCUGUCAAAUAAAUAAAAUCUUUAAAAAAAUCGUUGAAAUUAUAAAUAAGUAAAUAUCCAUAUAGAGUUUUUCUGUUUCAUGGGAGACUCCUUCAGGUUGCAGAGGGAGUUGUGACAUGGUUGUAUCUUGAGAAUGAGGUUGUAUUUUGUAGAUUGAGAAAAUGUACAUAAGAAUAUAGAUCACACCAACGGGCCAUUUUUUAGCAAUUCUGUUAGGUCAGGGAUUAAGUGUACCUUAAAAUUAGAAUAGAAGAAAUGAGUUGAAGUGUUUUGUGUGUAACUUGUUGAGCACUAGUAUUGUGGAGGACAGGAAGUUGGAAUAAUGAUACUAACCUGUACAUGGACAUAGGGAAUUCUGUUAUUUACAUAUAACUCCUGGUUAUAUGGACAGUCUGCCUGUUACUCUUGCCUUCUUUUUUAGUCUUGGCAGAUCAGACUUACCAGACCCAUUGACAGUUUGGCCUUCUGGAAAACUAACGUACAGAGGUUGCUUGUUUGUUUUGUAUACGUUUGGAACCUUCAUCAAAGGGGUUAUGCCAUAGAGCCCAUAGUACAAACCUGCUUAUAUUUGGGAAAAGUCUGACUUUGUUUUUUUGUGGGGGUUUUUUGUUUUUGUUUUUUUGAGAGAGAGAAUGAGAGACCUGGGGGAUUAGGGCAGGGGCAGAGGGGGAGAGAGAGAGCAUCUUAAGCAGGCUGCAUGCCCAGCGUGGGGUCCGGUGCGGGGCUCAGUCUCACAACCCUGAGAUCAUGACCUGAGCUGAAAUCAAGAGUUGGUUGCUUAAUUGAGCCAUCCAGGUGCCCUGGCAAAAGUCUGACUUUGAAUAGGUCUGAAGCCCUCUUCAGGUUAUGUGAAGGGCUAUCUUGCCUAUGACCUAGUCUGUGGCCUGGCUUAUCUCCCUGCCAACUAUUGGCAGUGAGGGAGCUGAUGGUUAUUAUGAGGGAGGAGUAGGCAUGGGGAGGAGGACCUUACUAUUACUCUCUUUUACAGUCUUUCUUUAAGUGUCCCCCACCGUCACACCAGGCCCCAUGGCAAUGUCUUUAAAGUGAAUAUAGAUGAGUGGCCCGAGCUGGAGUCCUGGCCUUUUGUCUUUCUCCCCAAGCAGCAUGAACUUCACCACCCACUCCACUUUUACCUCCAGCUGUUGGUCCCUGAGCUCUGUGUAAUCGCCCAGCCACCAGGUCCUGCUGGUCAGCAGUGCAGCCACCAGCAUCUAGGCACACACCUGGGGGCUCAGGCUCCUGGAUCUCUGUGUCCCAGUCCACCAGCUAGCAGGGUAGCUGGGGGUCCAGAGGCCUGGCCACUAGGAUGGCUGGGGAUCUGGCACGCAGAGGGGAUCCAGGGUGAGAAGGAGACCAGCAAGACCUGAAUGAUCACCUGGCCUCCUACCUGGAGAGGGUGAGGAGCCUGAAGGCUGAUAAGCAGAGCCUGGAGAUCAAAAUCUGGGAAUAAGUGGAGAAGGGAUCCCAGAUCAGAGACUGGGGGCAUUAAUUCAAGACCAUGGAGUUGCUGAGGGCUCAGGUCUUUGGGAAAUCUGUGGACAAUGCCCACAUUGUUCUGCAGAUUGAUAGUGCCCAUCUUGCUGCUGAUAACCUCAGAGUCAAGUAUAAGAUGGAGCUGGCUAUGCGCCCAUCUGUGGAGAGUCCUCUCCAUGGGCUCCACAAGGUCACUGAUGACACCAUUGUCACUCGGCUGGAGCUGGAGACAGAGAUCGAGGUUCUCAGGAGCCGCUCUUCAUGAAGAAGAACCAUGAGGAGGAAGUAAAGGGUCUACAAAACCAAAUUGCCAACUCUGGGUUGACCGUGGAGUUGGAUGCCCCCAAAUCUCAGGACCUCGGCAAGAUCAUGGCAGACAUCCGGGCCCCGUAUGAUAAGCUGGCUCAGAAGAACUGAGAGGAGCUGAACAAGUAUUGGUCCAAGCAGAUUGAGGAAAGCACCACAGUGGUCACCUUACCGCUGAGAUAGGAGCAGCUGAGAUGAUCCUCACGGAGCUGAGAUGUAUGGCCCAGUCCAUGAAGAUGAACCUGGACUCGGUGAGAAACCUGAAGGCCAGCUUAGAGAACAGCCUGAGGGAGGUGGAGGCCCAUCACAUGAUGCAGAUGGAGCAGCUCAGUGGGGUCCUGCUGCACCUGGAGUCAGAGCUGUCCCAGACCUGGGCAAAGAGGCAGCGCCAGACCCAGGAGCACAAGGCCUUGCUUAAUAUCAGGUCAAGUUGGAGGCUGAGAUCUCUACCUGUCACCUGCUGGAAGAUAGGGUGAUGCCCUGGACAGCAGCAACUCUUUGCAGACUGUUCAGAAGACCACAACCCACAGGAUUAUGGAGACAAAGUAGUAUCUGAGACUAAUGCCAGCAAAAUUCUGAGGUGUUGAGGCAGCAAAAGCAGGGUGCCCUUUGAGGAGCAGAAGGCUAAUUAAAAGUUAAGAGGUAAACAAAGAAAAAAUGAAUAUGGAUGAGAUCGUUGCAGAGGGUAGGACAUAGACUAGAGGAGUUCCAGAAACGUUUAGUGAUAAAUUUUAGUAACUAGUGUUUAUUGAGCAUUUUGUUCUGUGCACUGUGCUCUGCACUUUACAAGGAUUACCCCAUUAAUUCUUAAAACAAUCUUAGGAAGUAGGUACUUUAAUUUCUUCUUUACAGAAGAGUCAGGUGAGGCUUAGAGAAGAAAAGCAACUGGCUUGUAAGUGAUAAAACUGGGAACUGUCACCCAGCUUGUGCCUAUAAUGACUAUUUGAAUAAUGCCAGCUAUCAAUGCAUGCAAGUGGUAAGAGAGUGGUUUUAAAUGUGGAAGAAUUAUUAUUCUUUGCAUUUAUGAUUUUAGCAAAAAGAAAACGUUAUACAUUCUAGUUAAUUUGUUAAUGUAAUUACAUAUUGACAGUCUUUGUGCCCUGAUAUACCUGUGUAUACUUUAAAAAAAACCCAACUUUGUUGAGAUAUAAUUUACAUACCAUAUAAUUCAACUAUUUAUUUAGACUGCCAUUCAGUGAUUUUUAGUAUAUAAACAGAGUGUGCAUCUAUCACCAUAAUCACUAUUGUAACAUUUUUGUUAUCCCAAAAAUAAACCUGUUAUCUAUUAGCAGUCAUGCCCUAUUCUCCCCAAUUCCCGCACCUUGGCAACCACUAAUCUACUUUUUGUCUCUGUGGAUUUGCCUGUUCUGGGACAUUUUGUAUACAUUGAGCCAUGCAGUAUGUGGUCUCUUCUGAGAGGCUGACUUCUUUUACUUAAACAUAAUGUUUUCCAGGGCGCCUGGGUGGCUCGGUUGGUUAAGCGACUGCCUUCAGCUCAGGUCAUGAUCCUGGGGUCCCAGGAUCGAGUCCCGCAUCGGGCUCCCUGCUCAGCAGGGAGUCUGCUUCUCCCUCUGACCCUCCCCCCCUCUCGUGCUCUCUCUCCCAUUCUCUCUUUCAAAUGAAUAAAUAAAAUCUUUAAAAAAAAAAACAAAAAAAACCCCAUAAUGUUUUCCAGGUUCAUCCAUGUUGUAGCGUGUAUCUGUAUUUCAUUCUUUUUAUUGCUGAAUAAUAUUCCAUUGUCUGGGUAUACUACAUUGUAUUUAUGCAUUCUGUAUAUUUUUCAAAAGAAUACUAUUUUUUUAGUGAAGUUCGUGUUGGUCAGUUUUUUGUCGGGGAUGGCAUUGACCAUCUCUGUUCUCCCAGAAAGUACUCAGUCACCUAGAGCAAUCUUGCUGGGUGAAUAAGAAAAUUAGUACAUCUUUGAUGUAGCUCAGUUUAGCUACAUGAUCUUGAAAAAUUUUGCCUCCUCUCUGUUUUACUUAACACAUAACACAUAAGGAAGGAUAAAUCAUUAUAUGAACAGAUAGUGUUAACUGGGUUACUGGCCCUUUUUUUUCUCCCAAGCCAGAGUCAGCUUCAACACUCUUUCAAGAAUAACAGUGAAAAGCUAAUGUCCUUUGGUUUACUAAAGUAAAAAGAAAACUGAUUAUUACUGGUUUGUUAGAGUGUGAAUUUAACAAAGUGAUGUCCUCAAAUAAUGUCCAUAAAUCUGAUAUGCCUAACAUUAAAUAAGUUAGAAUAUAGGCAGAGUUUUUUCCUUUUUUUUUUUUUCUUUUUUUUUUUUUUGACACAGUAACCAAAAUUCUCAAUAUUAGGGCAGUUCUUUUUUUUUUGGAAAGAAUUACAAUGUAAUGACUGGUAAUACAUUUGUGAGCUUAUCUGUUUCAUCUGUUCCCACCUAAUGAGACAUGGAGAGAAAGAGCACUGAGCUUGUGAGGCGGGAUCAGGGAAGUCGGCCUGGAAUUGUAGGGUAGGGACUGGAGUGAGGGAAGGAGAAUUUUCCUCUCCUAAAAAGUGAUAUUUUAGGUGACAAUUUAAAGAUUUGUUAUAAUUUAUGUUUUGUAUGACUGGGCACUUCUGUCACUCCACUUUAUUUCCUGGUAUGGGGAAAACAAAAACAAGGGGAUUUAGGAAAAACUUCCAUUUACCUUCAGGAGAGUAACCACAUGGGAAGCUCAAGGACCUGGUAGCUCUGACCUCCUUCCCUGCCCCGACAUGGAAGCACGUUCAGAAAUAAUUGGGUAUUGAAGAUUUACCUGGGAAAUGGUUUGUUAUAAAGUGAUUGAUUUGUGUGCGUUCAGAUCAACUGCCUACAACCUCAGCAUAAUAUUGAAUCCUGGAAAUUGAUAUUUCUGAUCAAUUAAGAGUCUAUGACAUGUGGCAUUAAAGAGUAUCAGCUCGGGAACCAGGAGCCACCACUUACUAGAUAUGUGACUUCAGACAAGUUUUAAAAUUUCACUGAGCUUUGAUUUCCUUCACCAAAAAUGAAAGAAUUACUUUCCAAAGUUACGAGCAUUCAGUGUUUAUGUAUUUGACAAGAGCUUAGCACAAAGGAAGCGGUCAAUAAAUGUGGCAGUUGCUGAUAUUAAUGAUCUGAAUUAAACAAAGAAAAGGUGUUAAAGUUUGGUGUGUACCACUGCAUACUCUAUAUUACUCAAUUGUUUGGGAUAAAUUAGGUAAUGAAGUCAAUUUUUAUAAUUUGAAUACCAGUUAGACAAAUUCAUUCAGCUUUUUUUUAUUUUUAAUGUUUUCAUAUUUUUUCUUUGCUGGCUUGGUUCUAGAAUAAGCCAGUAAACUUGUCAUUCAGGAUUUUGAAAAUCCGGCAGAUUAAUUCUGUGGGGUAGCACUCUCCUUUAAUGUUAAGUGUGUUUGGAGAUAGUUUGACCUGGAGUAGUUCAGUUUUUUUGGUGUGAUUCUAAUUUCUGUCAUUGCCUAUGAUUGGCUAGUGUAACUUUUCCAUUCUGGAAAAGGCUUUGUUGUAGCUAAACUGUCUAUAUUCAGGAAUGUCUGCCUCAUUUUAUUUUAUGAUUCUUACAUAUUUAUAUAAGAUUCUUGUCAAAGUCCAUCUUUUAGAAGUAGGAAUUUCCUCUUUAUGAUUUCACUUAAAUUUUUUGGGUUAUAUAGAAUCUGCAUGUUUAAAACAUCAAUCUGGUAGUGACUGCUGUGAUAUUAUCUAGUUGAUUUGUAACUGAACGUUUAAACCUGGUUAAAAUUUACUGUACCUCCCCAUAUCUACCUUUUUUUUUUAAACCUCAUAAUUGAUUCUGUUCACACUUGGCCACACACACACACACACCCUCUUAACCCACCAAUGUAUUAAACUUUUAAAGUGAGCACUCUAAUAAGAAAACAAACCAAGGUUGUUUUUAGUGACUAUUGUACUUUUUGAGAUGCAUGGCCAAGUUGUAAUUUAUCCUGGCUAAAAAAAGAAAAAUCUGGGCAAAGACUAAAGGCGGCCAACAGUUAUGAAAGACCUAAACUGGGAUUAGAUUUAGCCAAAUCAACUCCAUAGGGAUUUACAGUGGAAUUUUAAACAUUAUCUGGGGGGAAUUCUGGAGAACAGACCAUUUUACUUAGACCUUUCUAUGUUUCAUGGUGCUGUGCAAGAGAGAAGCUAGGCUUCUCUCUCUGCUGUGGCCAACAGAAAUAAACUUCAUUCAUAUAUAUUCGUAUAUAUAUAUAUUUAUUCAUAUAUAUAUAUAUAUAUAUAUGAAUCUCCAAGCUUUAUAACUGAGAUGAAACUUUUAUUAUGACCAUAAUUUAUCUAUAGGAUCCUAUAUACUCUUGUAGUCUAUCCUAGUGAUUAAUCUUGUGGAGUUGGGAGUCAGAUUGCCUGGGUUCACAUUUCAGCUCUGCCUCUUCCUAGCUGGUUGACCAGUGUAAAUAAAAGAGCACAGUGCUGUGGGGAUUGACUGGGAUAAGCCAUAUGAAGUACUCAGCCUAGUAGCUGCUUCACUCCCACCACCACAUUAGGAAUACCACGUUGUUUUAAUUUUAUUGAUCAUUUUAUUGAACUCUCAAAGACAGAGACUGGAGGACAACAUUUUACAUAGCACUGUGGUGAGUUUCUUAAUCCGAUUAAGAAAGUACUUUGCAAACUGCUGAUUUCCAGAGAUUUGAAUCCUUUUUCUCUUACACUAAAGCCAUUGGCUAUAACAUAAUACUUACCUACAUCAUGAUGUUUAUAAAAAAUACACAGUCCAUAAAAAACAUAGGAUAUUGAAGAAGGAGGGCCAAUGGGAAGUGAGGGGACUGAUAUGAUAGAAGCAUAUAUUUCAAUUUUGUGCCCAGAUGAUUCUUUGCAAGUUAACCUCCAUGCCAAGAAUACAUUGCCUGCUCUAGUCAUGAGUGAAGUGUAAAUAUAUUUCCUAACAUUUCGUAGAGCCCUUUAUAGUUGACAGUGUCUUUUCCACAUAUACUUUGAUUCCCACAAAUCAUUCUGUGAUGGAAAUACUCUUCUAUUUCCUAUUGUAGAAUAUUAUCUCAUUUAUUCCUAGAUAGCUAGAAUAACUAUUUUAGAAUCUCGUAAUAGAUUCCUAAGGCAGAGUUGCAAAGGCACCCAGGGUACUGUUCAAAAUAACCUACCCUAUUCAUUAAAGAUAUUUGGAUCCCAAUUCUGAUGUAAUAACAUUGUUUCAGAGGAUCAGUGGAUAAUUUGUCUUAAUUAUUAGCUGUUCAUUUCUAUACUCAUUAAUUUUGACAGUACUUGGUUGAUUUGUUUAUAUUUCUGUUAAGAGAUAAUUGCAGAACUCUGUGGGGAUUUGAUACAUCACUUGAGCGAGCGCAUUGAAGUAGUUUUAAGUUUUCAGAAUGGUAGGGCGCCUGGGUGGCUCAGAUGGUUAAGCGUCUGCCUUCGGCUCAGGUCAUGAUCCCAGGGUCCUGGGAUCGAGUUCCGCAUCGGGCUCCCUGCUCCUUGGGAGCCUGCUUCUCCCUCUGCCUCUCUGUCUCUCAUGAAUAAAUAAAUAAAAUCUUUAAAAAAAAAAAAAGUUUUCAGAAUGGUAGUAAUGAAUAUUUGGUGUUCUGUUUAAAAUGAAAAUGCACGAAUAACAAAACUGAGGAGAUUGCCAGGAAUAAUCCCCACAUGCAUAAAAUUGGUAGGUCCAAAGAGUUUCAUGGGUGUUAUUUUAAACUUGAGUGAAUCAUUUAAACAGUUUCAGUUCAGAGAGAAAAGUUUCCUAAUUCAUCGUUACAAAGCCAGCAUAUCACUGGUACCAAAACCUGGCAGAAUGUGAGCACACACAUGAACAAUAGGUUAAUCCCAAAAUGGAUAUUUUGUUUAAAUAUAAGAGCUAAUAUUUAUUGUCUCUUACCUCUGACAGGUCCUGUGAGCAAUAUACAUUUUUUUCUUUUUUUUUAAAUUGAUUUUACUAAAUUACAUGAUGUUGGUUUAAAAAAAAUAAUUCAUAGGGGUGCCUGGGUGGCUCAGUCAUUAAGCAUCUGCCUUUGGUUUAAGUCAUGAUCCCAGGGUCCUGGGAUCCACAUCGGGCUCCCUGCUCUGCGGGAAGCCUGCUUCUCCCUCUCCCACUUCCCCUGCUUGUGUUCCCUCUCUUGCUGUGUCUCUGUCAAAUAAAUAAAUAAAAUCUUUAGAAAAAAAAGAAAAAUAAUAAUUCAUAGAAGUUUAUCCAAAGGCUACUCCUCAAAGAUGAAAAUUACCUCUAGUUGUGAGCUUCCUUCUUUUUCUCUGGCUUGAUAAUUACACUUUCCUUUAUAUACAGUGGUGUCUGUAGAAAGCCAUCUAAGAUUUUUGCCAUGAGACUCUGAGCCUCCGCUAAAACCUUUUACCUAUAGUUUAUAAAAGAAAGACAAAUGAUUCUCCAAACUAGAAAGUCAAGAUCAGUGAACCUCUGAUUCUCUAGAUUUUCUUUCAAAAAUACACAUAUUUUUCCUUCAACUUUUAAAGAGUCUGUUUUAAAUGAUCUACUUUUCAGCUGGUUUUGGUUGUCACACCUGGAUGCAGUUGACUUAAAAAUGUUUUGCUCCUUGCUGUUUCUUUCUAAUUAUUUUAUUUUUAGUCAUUCUGACUAGGACAGAAUAUUUUCUCUAGAGGAUGUGUCGACACAAAUUGAACAGACCUUUUAGAAUUUCUAGAAGAAAGGAGGAGAGUAUUAUUGGAGCCCAAGUUAAGACAGCUGCCCAGGAUACACAGUCUUCGCAAAGAGUGUUCUCGCAUAUUUCCUUUCGAUCCUCUCCAUAACCCUGUACUGUGUGGCAACUAUUGUUAUCCUCAUUUUAUGAAUAAGGAGAGCCUUGGUAAGGAGGCAUCUCGGAGAGGCUAACUGAGGAGAUGAAUGUUGCCCAGAAACACUACUGUAGAAUGCAACAGCACCUGCACUGAAGUUGAAGUCUCUGAUUUGAAAAAGCCCAAGCUCUUUAUCAUUAUGCUGCGAGAGAGGAAAAGAACCUGGGAGGAAAAGAGAAUCUGGAAGAAUAUUAAGUCCAUCGUUGUUUAUAGCGAUUAUACCUAAGUAGGAUUUUCACUUUGUCCCAAAUACAUUUACAUUAUUAAAAUCUGUAAAAACUAGAUCCGGGUACUACACUUUGGGCCAGGAAACCUGUGUUUCAGAAGCUAGACAGACGUGUUGGGCAGCAUGUACUACAGCUACAUAGACUUUUCUGCUUGUUUGCUAAAACUCCUUCUCAUCUUCUUUUAAAAUAAGGACGGAUAAGCUCAUGUAAAGAGAGCUUGUGUUAGUCAACAGAAGUAGUCUCAUUUGCAGAUAAUGAAGCUUUUAAUGACAGAUUUUUUUAAAGUAUGCAGAGAAUUUGGUUGUGAGGAAGCCUUCACAAAAACUUUGUGCUGAGCCUCAGAGAUCUAUUGCCAAUCCUCUUUUUUUAUGUAAUCAAGCAAUUCCAGAAAUCAUUCAAAAUGUAUUUUGAAAAUUGGUAACAGUAGUAGUUAUGAGGUAGGGGAACUCUAUGGAAAGGGGACAAUAAUGUUUUUUACUCUUGGAAUACAAAUGUGUUCAGGUAUUAAUCUAUUCCCCCAAACAAUUUUUUUUAAAUGCACCAUGGGAGCUUGUUUAAAGGAUUUUUAAUUUUGAUUCAUUUUGUUCACCAGUCACCCUGAUUUCAUGUGUGUACAUCCACCUAGAUGUGCCAUGUCUAAAGGUUUCCUUUAAUUUUAUUAUGGUUUAUUUGAGGGAAUAAAAUACCAUCGUAGUAUUUGACCUGGUUCCAAUACCCAUGCCUCAGAACAGUGCUCCGAGCUGUGAGAACUAGAGACCCUUUAAAGUUCCGUUUCCCCCGUCAGAUGGACCUCUGCUUUUUAGACUUUUUAUUGAAGUGUUGCAUACAUACAAAAAUAUUUAUCAUAAAUCAUAAGUGUACAGUUUGAUCAGUUGUCACAAAAUUGAACAGGUAUGUUUCAGCUUUUGCUUUUCGUUCAAGUGCAAAUCGUCGUUGCUGAGACUAAAUGGUUGAGCUGUGUUCACCACUUUUCUGGAAGGACUUCCUAAUUAAAAACAAAACAAAAACCAAAAAAAAAUCAUGCCUGUCAAUGUAAGAUUAUGUUUUUCCCCCCAGCUUCAUUGAGAUGUAAUUUAUAUGUAACAUUAAGUGUACAAGGUAAUGAUUUGAUACAUGUGUGUAAGUAGUAAGCCAAAUUUUAAGAGUGUUUAUUUCUAUCUAAGUCAACUGUUGAGGCACUUUAUCAUCAAAUUGUUUUAUCGAAUGAUUACUCUAUGCCAUGCAGUAGAACAAGUGAUGUAUUUACAUGUCGUAUCAUUGAAUUCUUACAACUCAUUUAGAUACUUGGUCUCGAAGUCUUUGGUUAUAACUAAAGCUUCGAGAGGCUGAAAACUUCGCUGGAGUUCAAAUACCCAGGGCAGGGGGCAGUCUAGCUGUAAAUAAGGGUCAUUCUAACUCUAGAGCUUGAACACUUACUAUUACAUCCUUUUUUUACCAGGUGUAUUUUUAGUGCAUUUGCUGCAUGGCAAAUAUUGUCUGAUGGUGUCCUGAUAGACUGAGGUGUUGGGUUUUGGUUUUCUGUUUUUGUUUUUUAAAUCAAAGGUGAAGGAAAUACUUUCAAAGCAGUGCCUUUGUAGCAUGAGGCUUUGGAGCAGCAUUCUGAUCAGAAGAGAAGGCACAGGAAUUGUUCUCAAAAAUGCGUCAAGACAUAGCAAGUGAACACUGUUUAGUGUGUAUGUUUCUUGGAGUUGCCUUCGGGUGGGGAAGCUCCCGAAGAUUAUGGGAAGAGGGACACCCCACCCCACCCUUGGUGUUGCCUUGUCUUGUGGCAAAGUGAUAGUGUAAAUACUUGAAAAUGUGCUCAUUUUGCACCUAUCUUAAAAAAACGAGUAUCUGCGGGCGCCUGGGUGGCUCAGUUGGUUAAGCGACUGCCUUCGGCUCAGGUCAUGAUCCUGGAGUCCCUGGAUCGAGUCCCGCAUCAGGCUCCAUGCUCGGCAGGGAGCCUGCUUCUCCCUCUGACCCUCCCCCCUCUCGUGCUCUCUCUCAUUCUCUCUCUCUCUCAAAUAAAUAAAAUCUUUGGGAAAAAAAACCGAAUACCUGCAUGGGGAAGUUUUUAAAGACUGUUUUUAACUUGUCUUUCUCUUAGGAAAACGUUUGAUAGAUCUUUCAUUUUCAGCUCUUUCAUAGAGGAUCUUGGUGCAGGAUGUUUCACAGCAACCAUGUUAACUGAUUGAGCUUUGCUGUCAGGGAACCUUGGCAAAGAAGUUAUUUGCAAGUUCUUUUGUGUUGUUUUUUUGCUUGUUUUGGUUUAUAACCAAAGACUUGUUAAAUAAACUUACUUCAUAUAGUUGGAAUAAUGGUCCAUACUUUCUUAAAUACUCUCUUAGGGCCUUGGAUUGUGGUAUACUGAGGAAAAAGCAAGCCUGGUGAGGGUAGCAACAUACAUUGCUGUUUACAGAUUGGUCACUUUUCCUUCUCUUUUUAACUUGAUGGUAUUGUCACAUACAUCAUCAACCACAACAAAAGGCAAACUAUAUAGUGGACGGUGUUGAGAUUUGGGGAACUCUUUCGUGCCAGAACUUGGUUUGAUUUUUAUUGUAGCUGCUAAAAAAAAAUUGUUAAAGUUUUGCUUUCAACACCUGUGUUAAAUUUACCUGAAAUUAAUAGAAAGGAAAACUGGUAUGUAUUUUUCUCUCUGGAGUUAAGACCCUUUGUAAAGUUACACAGUAGUUGAAAGCUUAUCACUGCAGUUUAAUUUGCUUAUAGAAACUGAGGCUUUGAAAACUCUGUUCUUUGACAGAUUAUAAUCCCAAGAAGUCUUCCAUCUCUCUUCCCAUCCAUCAUUUUGUGAUUUAUUUUGGUUCUGUUACAAAAACAAAUGGGAAAAUAGUCUGCAAGUGCCAAAAGAUGUCAUAAUUAACUUGUUUUUUUGGAUUACUAGUACUUCAGACAUUCGUGUAAAUCAAGUUAACUCUGUUUAGGGAAUGUAGUUUUGAAUUUCGUAAUUCUUUAGAGUAGUGGUUCUAAACCCUGCAUGCACGUUAGAACCAUCCAAGGAACUUUAAUAACAUGGCCCUGGUCACAUCCCCAGAUGUUCGGACUUGUUUGCUCCCAUAUAGGGUCAAGUAUUGAUAUUUUUAGGUGUUUCCCAGUGUGUAGUCAGCAUUGAUAACCAUUGGUAGUUAACUGGGGUUCCCUGAUUCAGCUAAAAGAUACUGAAGAAAAGAUGAUUAUUUAAACAAAGAGAGGUUUUAGAGAUAUUUGGAGAUUUUUUUUUUUUUUUUUUUUUAAGUAGCCAACCAAAUGAAACCGUAUUUUUAUUAGGACAUCAACAAAGUGUUGACACCUUCAUUUCUUUCUUUCUUUCUUUUUUUUUAAAGCAUGGGUGAUUUUAUUUUUAUUUUUUAAGAUUUUACUUAUUUGACAGAGAGAGAGAGCACAAGUAGGCAGAGUGGCAGGCAGAGAGAGAAGGAGAAGCAGGCUCCCGGAUGCGGGGCCCGACUGGGAUCACGACCCGAGCCGAAGGCAGACGCUCAACCGACUGAGCCACCCAGGCACCCCAAGCAUGGGUAAUUUUAGAACUCCAAUUAAAGUAAUGUUCUUAAGCCUACAAAAUAAGCAAAUCUAAAGCUUAACGUCCAGGACUUCCCAUACGUCAAAAAACUAGUAAUUGAACAAUUACAAUUGAUUAAAAUAAUAUGAUCAGUAGAUGUCCAAGAGGAUUUAACCAUUUUCUUCUAGUUUUAAGCUCACACUAAGCUUCCACUACCCAUUUUAUUCACUUAAAUUAUUUCCUCUACUAGCAUUAAUUAGUUCAUAAGCAAAGGAGCAAAAGCCACAAAAGUCAAAUUUUAUUUCAUUAACUUAAAUGCUGAAGAAAAUGUAUAUUUCAAAUCUUUAAUUAAACUCAUUUAUCUGAAACAUGUUUACACACAGGACAGAUACAGGAUUUCAAGUAACUUAUGGUAGAGUCCAUUGUCCAUUUAAAAAUAUGCUUCUUUCUUCCACAAAAACUGUGUUGAAAGGCAAAAAAAUUUUCUUUUAUACUACAUAAAAGCUAGAUGCAAACUUCUGAUGUAUAUUUAUUUCAUUGUCAACUCUGAUGCUGAAGCUGGGAGGCAGAGAUGUCCAUAGUUCGGUUAAAUGAUGCAAAUAAAAAGCUUCCAUUUCUCUGAGAUAUAAAUUAGAAGCCUCCAUUCACUGUCUUAUCACAGUAGUACCACAGGCUUGAUUGACUCAUAUCCGGUCACUUCUUCUUUCCUUUCCCUUUUUUACUUCCCUUUCCUUGCUGAAGACUUUGGUCACCACCUCCUAUUUUUUGUGUCCUUGUUUUUAGUUUGGGUAUCAUUUCUGCUACAUACAACAUUACUGACUUACGUGAUGGGAACUGUACGAGACAGAGGCUGCCGUCUUCCUGUUUGAGCUGGACCCGGACUCUGCCCCUGUACUGAACAUCACGAUUCCACUCUCUAGAGUACAUUUUAUUUUUCUUAC